AACGAACGCUGGCGGCGUGGAUAAGACAUGCAAGUCGAACGGGACUAAAUCUGUAGCAAUACAGGUUUAGUUUAGUGGCGAACGGGUGCGUAACACGUGGGCAAUCUGCCGAGAAGUGGGGGAUAGCUCGCCGAAAGGACGAAUUAAUACCGCAUAUGAUCAGCUAAGACAUCUUAGCGACAUCAAAGCCGGGGCGAACCUGGCGCUUCUUGAUGAGCCCGCGGCCUAUCAGCUAGUUGGUGAGGUAACGGCUCACCAAGGCUAUGACGGGUAGCUGGUCUGAGAGGACGACCAGUCACACUGGAACUGAGACACGGUCCAGACACCUACGGGUGGCAGCAGUCGAG
rnacentral:rRNA from 1 species